rfam:Jonesia denitrificans DSM 20603, complete genome.
GGGGCCGAUCGGUUUCGACGGUGGUCGUGUUUCCAAGGGAAGCGGGCCGAGGAUGUGAACUUAUCUCGUAAACGCUGUUCACAAAACAAUAGGUGCCGAUACAAAGCGCACCGACUUCGCACUUGCUGCCUGAUCAGUAAGUCCUGAAGUCCGUCAGACCCAGGUUGCUAUCGCCUGGGAGCCUGGCGUCAGCUAGGUAGCCACUGCUUGUCACACAUGUCGUUGGUGUGGCAGGGACUUUUAAACGACUGGGCCUGUCAGCAACUCGUCUGCGUGCGUGCUGGGGCCGAGAAAAUCCAGAGCAGACUGCGCCCGGAGAAGUCUUGGAUGUGCGUCAUCGGACCGGGGUUCGAUUCCCCGCGGCUCCACAU